GGUUAAGCGACUAAGCGUACACGGUGGAUGCCCUGGCAGUCAGAGGCGAUGAAGGACGUGCUAAUCUGCGAUAAGCGUCGGUAAGGUGAUAUGAACCGUUAUAACCGGCGAUUUCCGAAUGGGGAAACCCAGUGUGUUUCGACACACUAUCAUUAACUGAAUCCAUAGGUUAAUGAGGCGAACCGGGGGAACUGAAACAUCUAAGUACCCCGAGGAAAAGAAAUCAACCGAGAUUCCCCCAGUAGCGGCGAGCGAACGGGGAGGAGCCCAGAGCCUGAAUCAGUGUGUGUGUUAGUGGAAGCGUCUGGAAAGGCGCGCGAUACAGGGUGACAGCCCCGUACACAAAAAUACACAUACUGUGAGCUCGAUGAGUAGGGCGGGACACGUGGUAUCCUGUCUGAAUAUGGGGGGACCAUCCUCCAAGGCUAAAUACUCCUGACUGACCGAUAGUGAACCAGUACCGUGAGGGAAAGGCGAAAAGAACCCCGGCGAGGGGAGUGAAAAAGAACCUGAAACCGUGUACGUACAAGCAGUGGGAGCACGCUUAGGCGUGUGACUGCGUACCUUUUGUAUAAUGGGUCAGCGACUUAUAUUCUGUAGCAAGGUUAACCGAAUAGGGGAGCCGAAGGGAAACCGAGUCUUAACUGGGCGUUAAGUUGCAGGGUAUAGACCCGAAACCCGGUGAUCUAGCCAUGGGCAGGUUGAAGGUUGGGUAACACUAACUGGAGGACCGAACCGACUAAUGUUGAAAAAUUAGCGGAUGACUUGUGGCUGGGGGUGAAAGGCCAAUCAAACCGGGAGAUAGCUGGUUCUCCCCGAAAGCUAUUUAGGUAGCGCCUCGUGAAUUCAUCUCCGGGGGUAGAGCACUGUUUCGGCAAGGGGGUCAUCCCGACUUACCAACCCGAUGCAAACUGCGAAUACCGGAGAAUGUUAUCACGGGAGACACACGGCGGGUGCUAACGUCCGUCGUGAAGAGGGAAACAACCCAGACCGCCAGCUAAGGUCCCAAAGUCAUGGUUAAGUGGGAAACGAUGUGGGAAGGCCCAGACAGCCAGGAUGUUGGCUUAGAAGCAGCCAUCAUUUAAAGAAAGCGUAAUAGCUCACUGGUCGAGUCGGCCUGCGCGGAAGAUGUAACGGGGCUAAACCAUGCACCGAAGCUGCGGCAGCGACGCUGAUGCGUUGUUGGGUAGGGGAGCGUUCUGUAAGCCUGCGAAGGUGUGCUGUGAGGCAUGCUGGAGGUAUCAGAAGUGCGAAUGCUGACAUAAGUAACGAUAAAGCGGGUGAAAAGCCCGCUCGCCGGAAGACCAAGGGUUCCUGUCCAACGUUAAUCGGGGCAGGGUGAGUCGACCCCUAAGGCGAGGCCGAAAGGCGUAGUCGAUGGGAAACAGGUUAAUAUUCCUGUACUUGGUGUUACUGCGAAGGGGGGACGGAGAAGGCUAUGUUGGCCGGGCGACGGUUGUCCCGGUUUAAGCGUGUAGGCUGGUUUUCCAGGCAAAUCCGGAAAAUCAAGGCUGAGGCGUGAUGACGAGGCACUACGGUGCUGAAGCAACAAAUGCCCUGCUUCCAGGAAAAGCCUCUAAGCAUCAGGUAACAUCAAAUCGUACCCCAAACCGACACAGGUGGUCAGGUAGAGAAUACCAAGGCGCUUGAGAGAACUCGGGUGAAGGAACUAGGCAAAAUGGUGCCGUAACUUCGGGAGAAGGCACGCUGAUAUGUAGGUGAAGUCCCUCGCGGAUGGAGCUGAAAUCAGUCGAAGAUACCAGCUGGCUGCAACUGUUUAUUAAAAACACAGCACUGUGCAAACACGAAAGUGGACGUAUACGGUGUGACGCCUGCCCGGUGCCGGAAGGUUAAUUGAUGGGGUUAGCGCAAGCGAAGCUCUUGAUCGAAGCCCCGGUAAACGGCGGCCGUAACUAUAACGGUCCUAAGGUAGCGAAAUUCCUUGUCGGGUAAGUUCCGACCUGCACGAAUGGCGUAAUGAUGGCCAGGCUGUCUCCACCCGAGACUCAGUGAAAUUGAACUCGCUGUGAAGAUGCAGUGUACCCGCGGCAAGACGGAAAGACCCCGUGAACCUUUACUAUAGCUUGACACUGAACAUUGAGCCUUGAUGUGUAGGAUAGGUGGGAGGCUUGGAAGUGUGGACGCCAGUCUGCAUGGAGCCGACCUUGAAAUACCACCCUUUAAUGUUUGAUGUUCUAACGUGGACCCGUGAUCCGGGUUGCGGACAGUGUCUGGUGGGUAGUUUGACUGGGGCGGUCUCCUCCUAAAGAGUAACGGAGGAGCACGAAGGUUGGCUAAUCCUGGUCGGACAUCAGGAGGUUAGUGCAAUGGCAUAAGCCAGCUUGACUGCGAGCGUGACGGCGCGAGCAGGUGCGAAAGCAGGUCAUAGUGAUCCGGUGGUUCUGAAUGGAAGGGCCAUCGCUCAACGGAUAAAAGGUACUCCGGGGAUAACAGGCUGAUACCGCCCAAGAGUUCAUAUCGACGGCGGUGUUUGGCACCUCGAUGUCGGCUCAUCACAUCCUGGGGCUGAAGUAGGUCCCAAGGGUAUGGCUGUUCGCCAUUUAAAGUGGUACGCGAGCUGGGUUUAGAACGUCGUGAGACAGUUCGGUCCCUAUCUGCCGUGGGCGCUGGAGAACUGAGGGGGGCUGCUCCUAGUACGAGAGGACCGGAGUGGACGCAUCACUGGUGUUCGGGUUGUCAUGCCAAUGGCACUGCCCGGUAGCUAAAUGCGGAAGAGAUAAGUGCUGAAAGCAUCUAAGCACGAAACUUGCCCCGAGAUGAGUUCUCCCUGACUCCUUGAGAGUCCUGAAGGAACGUUGAAGACGACGACGUUGAUAGGCCGGGUGUGUAAGCGCAGCGAUGCGUUGAGCUAACCGGUACUAAUGAACCGUGAGGCUUAACCUU
rnacentral:rRNA from 1 species